GGGUUGUGAGGUUAAGCGACUAAGCGUACACGGUGGAUGCCCUGGCAGUCAGAGGCGAUGAAGGGCGUGCUAAUCUGCGAUAAGCGCCGGUAAGGUGAUAUGAACCGUUAUAACCGGCGAUACCCGAAUGGGGAAACCCAGUGUGAUUCGUCACACUAUCAUUAACUGAAUCCAUAGGUUAAUGAGGCGAACCGGGGGAACUGAAACAUCUAAGUACCCCGAGGAAAAGAAAUCAACCGAGAUUCCCCCAGUAGCGGCGAGCGAACGGGGAGGAGCCCAGAGCCUGAAUCAGCAUGUGUGUUAGUGGAAGCGUCUGGAAAGGCGCGCGAUACAGGGUGACAGCCCCGUACACAAAAGCGCAUGUGCUGUGAGCUCGAUGAGUAGGGCGGGACACGUGGUAUCCUGUCUGAAUAUGGGGGGACCAUCCUCCAAGGCUAAAUACUCCUGACUGACCGAUAGUGAACCAGUACCGUGAGGGAAAGGCGAAAAGAACCCCGGCGAGGGGAGUGAAAAAGAACCUGAAACCGUGUACGUACAAGCAGUGGGAGCNNNNNNNNNNNNNNNNNNNNNNNNNNNNGGGCGUUAAGUUGCAGGGUAUAGACCCGAAACCCGGUGAUCUAGCCAUGGGCAGGUUGAAGGUUGGGUAACACUAACUGGAGGACCGAACCGACUAAUGUUGAAAAAUUAGCGGAUGACCUGUGGCUGGGGGUGAAAGGCCAAUCAAACCGGGAGAUAGCUGGUUCUCCCCGAAAGCUAUUUAGGUAGCGCCUCGUGAAUUCAUCUCCGGGGGUAGAGCACUGUUUCGGCUAGGGGGCCAUCCCGGCUUACCAACCCGAUGCAAACUGCGAAUACCGGAGAAUGUUAUCACGGGAGACACACGGCGGGUGCUAACGUCCGUCGUGAAGAGGGAAACAACCCAGACCGCCAGCUAAGGUCCCAAAGUCAUGGUUAAGUGGGAAACGAUGUGGGAAGGCCCAGACAGCCAGGAUGUUGGCUUAGAAGCAGCCAUCAUUUAAAGAAAGCGUAAUAGCUCACUGGUCGAGUCGGCCUGCGCGGAAGAUGUAACGGGGCUAAACCAUGCACCGAAGCUGCGGCAGCGACACUGUGUGUUGUUGGGUAGGGGAGCGUUCUGUAAGCCUGCGAAGGUGGCCUGUGAGGGUUGCUGGAGGUAUCAGAAGUGCGAAUGCUGACAUAAGUAACGAUAAAGCGGGUGAAAAGCCCGCUCGCCGGAAGACCAAGGGUUCCUGUCCAACGUUAAUCGGGGCAGGGUGAGUCGACCCCUAAGGCGAGGCCGAAAGGCGUAGUCGAUGGGAAACGGGUUAAUAUUCCCGUACUUGGUGUUACUGCGAAGGGGGGACGGAGAAGGCUAUGUUGGCCGGGCGACGGUUGUCCCGGUUUAAGCGUGUAGGUGUGUGUUCCAGGUAAAUCCGGUUCACUUUAACACUGAGGCGUGACGACGAGGCACUACGGUGCUGAAGCAACAAAUGCCCUGCUUCCAGGAAAAGCCUCUAAGCAUCAGGUAACAUCAAAUCGUACCCCAAACCGACACAGGUGGUCAGGUAGAGAAUACCAAGGCGCUUGAGAGAACUCGGGUGAAGGAACUAGGCAAAAUGGUGCCGUAACUUCGGGAGAAGGCACGCUGACACGUAGGUGAAGUGAUUUACUCAUGGAGCUGAAGUCAGUCGAAGAUACCAGCUGGCUGCAACUGUUUAUUAAAAACACAGCACUGUGCAAACACGAAAGUGGACGUAUACGGUGUGACGCCUGCCCGGUGCCGGAAGGUUAAUUGAUGGGGUCAGCGCAAGCGAAGCUCCUGAUCGAAGCCCCGGUAAACGGCGGCCGUAACUAUAACGGUCCUAAGGUAGCGAAAUUCCUUGUCGGGUAAGUUCCGACCUGCACGAAUGGCGUAAUGAUGGCCAGGCUGUCUCCACCCGAGACUCAGUGAAAUUGAACUCGCUGUGAAGAUGCAGUGUACCCGCGGCAAGACGGAAAGACCCCGUGAACCUUUACUAUAGCUUGACACUGAACAUUGAGCCUUGAUGUGUAGGAUAGGUGGGAGGCUUUGAAGUGUGGACGCCAGUCUGCAUGGAGCCGACCUUGAAAUACCACCCUUUAAUGUUUGAUGUUCUAACGUGGACCCGUUACCCGGGUUGCGGACAGUGUCUGGUGGGUAGUUUGACUGGGGCGGUCUCCUCCUAAAGAGUAACGGAGGAGCACGAAGGUUGGCUAAUCCUGGUCGGACAUCAGGAGGUUAGUGCAAUGGCAUAAGCCAGCUUGACUGCGAGCGUGACGGCGCGAGCAGGUGCGAAAGCAGGUCAUAGUGAUCCGGUGGUUCUGAAUGGAAGGGCCAUCGCUCAACGGAUAAAAGGUACUCCGGGGAUAACAGGCUGAUACCGCCCAAGAGUUCAUAUCGACGGCGGUGUUUGGCACCUCGAUGUCGGCUCAUCACAUCCUGGGGCUGAAGUAGGUCCCAAGGGUAUGGCUGUUCGCCAUUUAAAGUGGUACGCGAGCUGGGUUUAGAACGUCGUGAGACAGUUCGGUCCCUAUCUGCCGUGGGCGCUGGAGAACUGAGGGGGGCUGCUCCUAGUACGAGAGGACCGGAGUGGACGCAUCACUGGUGUUCGGGUUGUCAUGCCAAUGGCACUGCCCGGUAGCUAAAUGCGGAAGAGAUAAGUGCUGAAAGCAUCUAAGCACGAAACUUGCCCCGAGAUGAGUUCUCCCUGAGACUUAGAGUCUCCUGAAGGAACGUUGAAGACGACGACGUUGAUAGGCCGGGUGUGUAAGCGCAGCGAUGCGUUGAGCUAACCGGUACUAAUGAACCGUGAGGCUUAACCUUACAACGCCGAAG
rnacentral:rRNA from 1 species